rnacentral:rRNA from 1 species
CACGUAGGGGACGAGCGUUGUCCGGAUUCAUUGGGCGUAAAGCGCGCGUAGGCGGCUCGGAAAGUCGGUCGUGAAAUGCCGGGGCUCAACCCCGGGACUGCGUCCGAUACUCCCGAGCUGGAGGCAGGUAGGGGAGAUCGGAAUUCCUGGUGUAGCGGUGAAAUGCGCAGAUAUCAGGAGGAACACCGGUGGCGAAGGCGGAUCUCUGGGCCAUUACUGACGCUGAGGAGCGAAAGCGUGGGGAGCGAACAGG